rnacentral:rRNA from 1 species
AGAUACCAGCAUGCCACCCUGCAUCCCACUGCUGGCUUACCUUUGAAGCUAAGCAGGGUUGGUCCUGGUCAGUCCCUGGAUGGAGGUCCAGAUUCUGCUGGAAGUGGUGUUGG